AGUGGGGAAUAUUGCACAAUGGGGGAAACCCUGAUGCAGCGACGCCGCGUGGAGGAAGAAGGUCUUCGGAUUGUAAACUCCUGUUGUUGGGGAAGAUAAUGACGGUACCCAACAAGGAAGUGACGGCUAACUACGUGCCAGCAGCCGCGGUAAAACGUAGGUCACAAGCGUUGUCCGGAAUUACUGGGUGUAAAGGGAGCGCAGGCGGGAAGACAAGUUGGAAGUGAAAUCUAUGGGCUCAACCCAUAAACUGCUUUCAAAACUGUUUUUCUUGAGUAGUGCAGAGGUAGGCGGAAUUCCCGGUGUAGCGGUGGAAUGCGUAGAUAUCGGGAGGAACACCAGUGGCGAAGGCGGCCUACUGGGCACCAACUGACGCUGAGGCUCGAAAGCGUGGGUAGCAAACAGGAUUAGAUACCCUGGUAGUCCACGCCGUAAACGAUGAUUACUAGGUGUGGGGGGACUGACCCCUUCCGUGCCGGAGUUAACACAAUAAGUAAUCCACCUGGGGAGUACGGCCGCAAGGCUGAAACUCAAAGGAAUUGACGGGGGCCCGCACAAGCGGUGGAGUAUGUGGUUUAAUUCGACGCAACGCGAAGAACCUUACCAAGGCUUGACAUUGAUUGAACGCUCUAGAGAUAGAGAUUUCCCUUCGGGGACAAGAAAACAGGUGGUGCAUGGCUGUCGUCAGCUCGUGUCGUGAGAUGUUGGGUUAAGUCCC
rnacentral:rRNA from 1 species